CCUGACAAAGAUGGCUGCGGCGGCUGCUCGAGUCGCGCGCCUCUGUCAGCCCAGCGGGUGCCUACGUGGCUGUCCCGCGCCUGAACAGGAGGAAGGCGAAAGAGGAAAACGGUGCGCAGGAGCUCAGCCCUGAGCAACGUGCAGGAAGGAGAUGUCCGAGAAGCAGCCAGAGACGAUGAGCGUGGCCCAGCAGAUAGAUUGCCUGGAGGACAAGCUGUCCCACUGCAGGCAGGCCUUGGAAGAGUUGGAUUUUAAGUUGCGGAGAGAAGAGCUGACUCCUGAGAGAAGAGAGUCACUGGAGAGAGAGAAAAACCUGCUAGCAACCAAAGCUGAAGCUUAUGAGAAAGAAUUAAAAGUGCUUCGCCGUGAGAAUCGCAAGAUCGUCGUGCUCUCAGCAGCCAUUGUGCUGUUGGUUGUCGUAGUUUACACCUGCUGGACAAUGUAACAGCUGGUUGCAGAGAUCUGCUAAUGAUUUCACUAGGAUACCUCUUUCCUCCCUCACCAGACUGUCUCAUGGGUGUGAUCAGCUUUCCAAGCCAAUGAAUUGUGACACCUCUAAUUCACCAUAGGAAAUCCUCACCAUCAACAUCUGAGGAAAAUUAAAACAGCACAAGGCAGUUUUGGAGAAGAGGCUGAAGUUUGGUUGGAGCCCUCCAAUUGGCCACUAGGGAAGUGAGGGCCUUUACAGGAGUGGCACCCUAGAAAUGGAACAGCUUUCCUAGAGAGAUUCACCUGGUGCCAUUUUAUGGGGUUUUUUUCAGUGCCAAGAGAAGACAGUUCUAUUCACACAGGCCUUUUAAAUAACUUAAUAAUCUGGGUCUCUCAGUAACUAUUUAUUGUAUGAUGGAUUCUUUUACAGCAGGGGUGCAGAACCUCAGGUCUAGGGG